AUAAUAAAUUGUUUUUUAAUUAAAAACUAGAAUGAAUGAUUGGACGAGAAAUUUUCUGUCUCAUAAUUAAUUAUAGUUUGAAUUUAAUUUUUAAGUUAAAAAGCUUAAAUUUAAUUAAAGGACGAGAAGACCCUAUAGAAUUUUAUAAUUAAAUUAAUUUAAAAUGAGAAAUAAUUUUUUAAAAUAAUAAAUUAUUAUAUUGGGGUGAUAGAAAAAUUAAUUUAAUUUUUUUGUUAUAAGAACAAUAAUAAUUGAAAUUUUGAUCCUAUUAUAUAGAUUAUUAGAAUAAAUUACCUUAGGGAUAACAGCGUAAUUUUUUUUAAAAGUUCAUAUUAAUAAAAAAGAUUGC
rnacentral:rRNA from 1 species